rnacentral:rRNA from 1 species
ACACGACUACAUUAGAUACCCGUGUAGUCCUAGCCGUAAACGAUACUCGCUAGGUGUCGGCCACGGUGCGACCGUUGUCGGUGCCGUAGGGAAGCCGUGAAGCGAGCCACCUGGGAAGUACGGCCGCAAGGCUGAAACUUAAAGGAAUUGGCGGGGAGCACCACAAGAGGUGGAGGCUGCGGUUCAAUUGGACUCAACGCCGGAAAACUCAUCGGGAGCGACAGCAGUAUGAUUGCCAGGUUGAUGACCUUGCUUGACAAGCUG